GAAUAUAUAAAUAAAAGUUAUAUGAAUACAGGUAUACUAAAGGAUUUACAGAGGAAAGAGUAAGGAGUAUUAAACAUUUGUCAGGAUAAAUACUCAAAUCUAAAGAAAAGAUAUCAUCAUGAGUAGAAUUAUACUGAAGCCACCGUACGUUCAUAUGUCUGAUCCAAUAUUGACAACGAUCUUAGAAAUAGACACAACAUAAAAACACAAAGAUGUCUAGAAAUAACUUUCACUGGCAAAUGCAAAAUAUAUAUAUUUAUAUAUCUAUAUAUAUAUAUAUAUAUAUAAGUCUGAAAAUUACACCCAACAGUGUUAGAAUUAGACUUUUAUGCUGACAAAUUUUUGUCCCUCAACGGGAUUCGAACUCACACCUUUGAUACACUACAGCACCAAUCGCUUAGCCUCAUGUCCAGCGCUCUAGACCACACGACCACAUCCGCUAUAUUAAAAUAUAACUUCAAUAGUCGUAGUGUUACCUUGUCACGUAAGGCGAAUCUAGAGAUAGACAUAAGACAUGUGUUUUAAGCGUGUGAAGAUGUUAUAUUAUUAUUAAAUACACAAUGUAUUUGUUAUUUGUCAGCAAUCUAACUCAACAAUAUAUAUAUAUAUAAACAAGUCUAAAUUGAAAACAACGUUCAAACCUAUGAUUGCGUUGGAUAAAAACCGCAAUUUUUAUACGUGUGCAUGCAAAACAAAUGUCUUGGUAGAGUGGUCUAAAUACAGCACAAACAACAUAUAUAUAUAUAUAAAACAUAUAACUGAAUAAUUGAUAACCUGAAAAAUAUGGCAAUAUUUCCUGGAAUCAACCAGUUAAAUAAUAAAAGAGGGAUGGCCAAGUCAAGGACAAAAACCUCUCUUGAGUGUAAAGCAAAUGAUAUUCUCCUUACACCAGAAAACAUUUAAUAUAUCAAAGAUACAUUUAGAGAGUUUAAGAUGAACCUUCGCUGGUUAGAAGUUAGGAAUUCGGGAGAGAAAAAGAGAAAAGUGUUAAGUGACAUGAAGAUAAAAAUGGAAAAUAUUAUUCUGUUUCCAGAUAGCCAUACCCUACCAGAAUAUUAACAGAUUUUAAAUUGCGAUUAUCCAAUUCCAACACUUUUGUUUUGUGUAGUUAUUGAUCAUAUACUCGUUACAUCAGGGCAGGAAAAUAGCACGCAUAUUUUAGAUAUAAUACCUUUAAUACUACAGAGACAGAGAAUGAAUCAUUAUUCAUUUUUCCAUUAUUACCUUGACAUGUAUUUUAUGUAUGCCAUAAAAGCGGGAGGUUUGGCAUGCCACAAAUCCAGGUUCAACCCACCAUUUUUGUCUUAAAAUGUCCUGUACCAAGUCAGGAAAAUGGCCAUUGUUAUAUUAUAGUUCGUUUCUGUGUGUGUUACAUUUUAAUGUUGUGUUUUUGUUGUGUCGUUGUUCUCCUCUUAUAUUUGAUGCGUUUCCCUCAGUUUUAGUUUGUAACACGGAUUUGUUUUUAUCUCUAUCGAUUUAUGAGUUUCGAACAGCGGUAUACUACUGUUGCCUUUAUUUAAAGACAUACCAAAUGAAAUCUUUACCAAUAUUCAUUCUAUCUGGAAAUCAGCUCCUUCAACUGAACUUCAAUUGAAACUGACUUACUGUGAAAGAUUAAUGGAAGCUAAACAUUAUAAAAUUAUUUUACAGCUCAUUCAUCGUAAUGUUGAUUACUUUAUAAAUAGUAUUGAAGCGACAGAAUUUGAAAUGAGUAUAAAAUCUAAAACAAUAAUAGUGGUAUUGUUACAUAUUUUACAACAUCAAGUGUCUAUAAGCAAGAUUGAAAAACUGCAAUCAAUUCAAACAAUACUAUCUAGAAUACUUAACACAAACCCUGCUGAAAGAGUUCUAUUCAGGGGAUUUUAUAACUACAUACUGACACUGGGCAACAAACAAAUGCAAUGUAUUCCAAAUUUAAUCAAUUUAUUACAGCCUGCAUAUUUUCUGUGAUGAUGAUUUAGGUUUGAUGGUGAUGAUCAUCCGUGCCGGUAGCAAUAAUAUUUUAUGAAGGUACUAGAAAUCUGUUAGACCUUUUAAUAAAAUCUUGAACAUGUUUGAAAAUUAGGAGAUUUUGUUCAUUCGAAAGUUCAAGGUCUCCGCAAGUUAAUAGUUUAGUAUCAAUAAUAAAGUUUUCAGUAAGCCAAUUAAGAUUGUUAAGUAAAAUUUCUCUACAUGUAGUGUAUUUUGGGCAAACUAAAAGAAAAUGAUGAACAUCCUCAAUAUCAGACCCACACUGACACGAAGGAUCCAGUAUAAUGUUAGCUUUGAAAAGGUCAGAGUUUGAAAAUGAAGCGGAACAUCGCAAUUGAGUUAAAAUAAUAUUCAGUUUCCUUGGACAGUACAUAUAAUACGGCGCAACUCUACUCUGGACACUUUCAAGUUUUUCAAUUUUUAAGUCAAGCUAAUUCCAUUCUCGUAUAGUGGAUGGAAUAAAGAUUCAGUGGUAAGGGAAAGUCUACAAAAUGGAACAAUGAUAUUUUGACCGUUUCGCAACGGAUAGUUGGUUGUACUUUGUAUACAUGGGGGACAAGAUUACACAGGUACUCAGGUGAAUGUUUUUUAUUUAUAUUAUAAAACAUCUGUAAUUUUC